CGCCCGUAGUUGGAUCAGCGGAUUUGGAGAACGGUCUGCCGAUGGGCUGUACUGUUCUCCUGUCCUAUUUUCUCUAGUUCGCUCUAGGUGCUCUUCACUGAGUGUCUAGAGUGGCUGGAACUUUUACUUUGAAAAAAUUAGAGUGCUCAAAGCAGGCGUCUCAGCCUGAAUAGUGGUGCAUGGAAUAAUGGAAUAGGACCUCAGUUCUAUUUUGUUGGUUUUCGGAACAUGAGGUAAUGAUUAAGAGGGACAGACGGGGGCAUUCGUAUUGCGACGUUAGAGGAGAAAUUCUUGGAUCGUCGCAAGACGAACUACUGCGAAAGCAUUUGCCAAGAAUGUUUUCAUUAAUCAAGGACGAUAGUUAGAGGUUCGAAGGCGAUCAGAUACCGCCCUAGUUCUAACCGUAAACGAUGUCAACCAGCGAUCCGCAGGAGUUAUUCAUGACUCUGCGGGCAGCUUCCGGGAAACCAAAGUUUUUGGAUUCCGGGGGGAGUAUGGUUGCAAAGCUGAAACUUAAAGGAAUUGACGGAAGGGCACCACCAGGAGUGGAGCCUGCGGCUUAAUUUGACUCAACGCGGGGAAACUCACCCGGCCCGGACACCGUAAGGAUUGACAGAUUGAGAGCUCUUUCCUGAUUCGGUGGGUGGUGGUGCAUGGCCGUUCUUAGUUGGUGGAGCGAUUUGUCUGGUUAAUUCCGAUAACGAACGAGACUCUAGCCUACUAAAUAGAAGGCAAAUUAUUCGUUUGCUGUACUUCUU
rnacentral:rRNA from 1 species